rnacentral:rRNA from 1 species
GGGUGUGGGGGUGCUUAAUACAUGCAAGUCGAGCGGACAGAUGGGAGCUUGCUCCCUGAUGUUAGCGGCGGACGGGUGAGUAACACGUGGGUAACCUGCCUGUAAGACUGGGAUAACUCCGGGAAACCGGGGCUAAUACCGGAUGGUUGUUUGAACCGCAUGGUUCAAACAUAAAAGGUGGCUUCGGCUACCACUUACAGAUGGACCCGCGGCGCAUUAGCUAGUUGGUGAGGUAACGGCUCACCAAGGCAACGAUGCGUAGCCGACCUGAGAGGGUGAUCGGCCACACUGGGACUGAGACACGGCCCAGACUCCUACGGGAGGCAGCAGUAGGGAAUCUUCCGCAAUGGACGAAAGUCUGACGGAGCAACGCCGCGUGAGUGAUGAAGGUUUUCGGAUCGUAAAGCUCUGUUGUUAGGGAAGAACAAGUACCGUUCGAAUAGGGCGGUACCUUGACGGUACCUAACCAGAAAGCCACGGCUAACUACGUGCCAGCAGCCGCGGUAAUACGUAGGUGGCAAGCGUUGUCCGGAAUUAUUGGGCGUAAAGGGCUCGCAGGCGGUUUCUUAAGUCUGAUGUGAAAGCCCCCGGCUCAACCGGGGAGGGUCAUUGGAAACUGGGGAACUUGAGUGCAGAAGAGGAGAGUGGAAUUCCACGUGUAGCGGUGAAAUGCGUAGAGAUGUGGAGGAACACCAGUGGCGAAGGCGACUCUCUGGUCUGUAACUGACGCUGAGGAGCGAAAGACCCCGCACACC